rnacentral:rRNA from 1 species
UACGUAGGGGGCAAGCGUUGUCCGGAAUUAUUGGGCGUAAAGAGCGCGUAGGCGGUCCGAUAAGUCGGCUGUGAAAGUCAAGGGCUCAACCCUUGAAAGCCGGCCGAUACUGUCGGACUAGAGUCCGGAAGAGGCGAGUGGAAUUCCCGGUGUAGCGGUGAAAUGCGCAGAUAUCGGGAGGAACACCAAUGGCGAAGGCAGCUCGCUGGGACGUGACUGACGCUGAGGCGGCGAAAGCGUGGGGAGCAAACAGG